rnacentral:rRNA from 1 species
GAUGAACGCUAGCGGCAGGCUUAACACAUGCAAGUCGAGGGGCAGCACGGGUAGCAAUACCUGGUGGCGACCGGCGCAAGGGUGCGUAACGCGUGAGCAACAUGCCCUAUACAGGGGGAUAAUCCAGGGAAACUUGGUCUAAUAUCCCAUAGCAUUUAGAGGAGGCAUCUUCACUAAAUUAAAGCUUCGGUGGUAUAGGAUUGGCUCGCGUGACAUUAGCUAGAUGGUGAGGUAACGGCCCACCAUGGCUAUGAUGUCUAGGGGUUCUGAGAGGAAGACCCCCCACACUGGGACUGAGACACGGCCCAGACUCCUACGGGAGCAGCAGUGAGGAAUAUUGGACAAUGGAUGGAAAUCUGAUCCAGCCAUGCCGCGUGCAGGAAGACGGCCCUAUGGGUUGUAAACUGCUUUUAAUGGGAGCAAUAAGGUUUACGAGUAGACCGAUGAGAGUACCAUAUGAAUAAGCAUCGGCUAAC